rnacentral:rRNA from 1 species
AUUGAACGCUGGCGGCAGGCCUAACACAUGCAAGUCGAGCGAGCGGCGGACGGGUGAGUAAUGUCUGGGAAACUGCCUGAUGGAGGGGGAUAACUACUGGAAACGGUAGCUAAUACCGCAUACCAUCAGAUGUGCCCAGAUGGGAUUGGCUAGUAGGUGGGGUAACGGGUCACCUAGGCGACGAUCCCUAGCUGGUCUGAGAGGUUGACCAGCCAAACGGGAACUGAGAAACGGUCCAGACUCCUACGGGAGGCAGCAGUGGGGAAUAUUGCGCAAUGGGCGCAAGCCUGAUGCAGCAAUGCCGCGUGUGUGAAGAAGGCCUUCGGGUUGUAAAGCGCUUUCAGCGGGGAGGCGUUACCCGCAGAAGAAGCACCGGCUAACUCCGUGCCAGCAGCCGCGGUAAUAC